AAUUAUGCAUACAAUUCUCCUCUGGACCUUCACCAUGGCAGCUGACAGAUUGGUUAGGCAGUUCUGUGGGACAUUUAGAAGGCCUUGGAAGAAAGAAAAGACAGCGAGAAAGAAAUACUGUCAGCACUCAAGCCAUUCAUUGGUCCCUCGGAGACAGAACUGCCUAACAGUUUUGCCUGGGUGUAUGAAUAGGCCGCGUCUGUUAUCAUACGGCGGAGACACGGAGCACGCAGGCGUUACCUGGAAGAAGAAAACGGAGCGUCAUCCUGAACUCGAGGAACACGGCUCAGCCGGUAAUAUUUUUGGCACUUGGAAAAUCUUUGAUUUAAUCGGGAAGUAACUCUUUUUAUCCUGUGUUUCCAUGGAAACGAAGGAGGCUGGGGCAGGAGAGAAUAGGCGGGAGGUGUGAUAAGGGAGAAGAGCAUCUUUCAGAGGAGCUGGAGGAAGGGGAUGGCAAGGGAGGAAAAAAAAAAAGCCUCGUCUCUCGCUCUGGUUCACAAACACCGUCCCAUCACCUCCGUGUCCUUGGCAAGCCUGCUCACAAAGGUUAGAGGAAUGGCAGGGAAUUUAGUGGGAGACCCCCAGGGUGGAGACAUCAACUGGGAACAGAGCUCCAGGUACUCCAGGUGGAUGAAUGAGCGGGGCGACAAGUUGGGCGUUUCUCUUCUGAAGUUCGUUUUGCAGGUAGAUUUUCAUCCAUGGGAGGGUUUUUUUUUUUAAAGGAAGCCAGACAUUUAUGUGGUGACACAGGUUACUAUUCAAGUGGGGUUCCAGAAAGAUCCAGGCACAAAGCGACACCAGGGGUUAGCAACAGCUAGGAGGUAGGAAUAUUUGCUAAGAAGGUCUCUAGGAGAGAAUUACCACAGCAUUAACAGAGGAUCACGACACAGAUGCGUCAUUUCCACUGGGUGGCAGUGGGAUGUUUUAAUAUCCCAGUGAUUUUCCAACUACCGCCAGUUGGAAUAUCACAGGAAAAAUGAGGUUAAACUCAACUACCUGUUGCGUCACACUCUUGAACACCCCAUGUGACGCACCAGUAUGUCUACUGUGAACCGCAUGUUUGUUUGGGGUUUUUUAAGCCCCAUCUCUCUUGCUAUCCUGCAUGCGCCUCACUCACGCAAAAACAAACAUGGCGCCGUCCAGUGUUCUAUGACCUUUGCGUCAUUCUGUGGCAGUGUCACAGUGCCACCGAUUGGUCUGGCGUACCUACUGCAGCAUUUCCAGUGGCUCUGCAUCCUCUCACGUGGACGCAUGUUUUUUCUUUAUCGCUUACAAAAAUGUAUUUUUGUUUUCAUGUUGUGUGUUUAAAUUAAACAUCUCUAUUUUCUAAUUAAGUGGC